GAUGAACGCUGGCGGCGUGCCUAAUACAUGCAAGUCGAGCGAACGGACGAGAAGCUUGCUUCUCUGAUGUUAGCGGCGGACGGGUGAGUAACGCGUGGAUAACCUACCUAUAAGACUGGGAUAACUUCGGGAAACCGGAGCUAAUACCGGAUAAUAUUUUGAACCGCAUGGUUCAAAAGUGAAAGACGGUCUUGCUGUCACUUAUAGAUGGAUCCGCGCUGCAUUAGCUAGUUGGUAAGGUAACGGCUUACCAAGGCAACGAUGCAUAGCCGACCUGAGAGGGUGAUCGGCCACACUGGAACUGAGACACGGUCCAGACUCCUACGGGAGGCAGCAGUAGGGAAUCUUCCGCAAUGGGCGGAAGCCUGACGGAGCAACGCCGCGUGAGUGAUGAAGGUCUUCGGAUCGUAAAACUCUGUUAUUAGGGAAGAACAUAUGUGUAAGUAACUGUGCACAUCUUGACGGUACCUAAUCAGAAAGCCACGGCUAACUACGUG
rnacentral:rRNA from 1 species